ACGAGGUUUUUUUUCUUUCAAAUAGGUAUUUGCUUGAAUAGCAGAACAUAAGUCACAAUAUUAAUUACUGAAUAAGUUGCUAUAUAUUGUAUGAAAAAAUAUGUCACAUAUAAGCUAUACUUUUAAUCUUUGUUUUUAUAUUUAUAUAAUAUAAUGGCCGAUGAUUUCUCUGGGAUAAGUUGCAGUGAUUUCUAAAUUCUAAUCUUGCUGAUCUUCAGUCCUUAACUUAACAUCAUUAUUGCUCAUAUCAGACAUGGAGCAUCUCAUUUGUAAUCUCAAUGCCCGAUCGAUAUAUUUUCCUAGCUCUAUUCAGCAUCUCCCACAACUACCCUAGGUGAAGUAUAACCGCUUCCAGCCAUAUACUUAUUGUCCCAAUCUAAAAAGAAAGUCGCCAUUUUCCCAAUGUCCCUGUCAUUAAUGUUUGAUGAAGGAAUAAAAAAAAUUGUUCCAAGAGUUGCUCUUUAAUUACCUUUAGGUGCAACUUGUUAGACCUUCAUGUUUGGUUGCAAUUGUUGCUAUUCAUAUUGUAGCAGAAAGGUAUAUUCCUUGUCUUCAUAUUUGUCAGGUUGCUUCAUCUCUUACCAUUUUCAGUAGAGCUGAGGCCCUUUUCAGUAGAGCUUGAACUUUUCAAGCCACAAUAUGCUCCUUUUGAUUCCCCUAACUUUCUCCUACUUGCUUUUAUUUACUCUCCCCAUUCCAACUAUGGUAUAGCUUAUUGUUGGUUAGUUGUUUCAUUGUUUCAACCGUCAAUUUCUAACUCCUAAAAGUAAAAAAAAAACACCAACAAAUCUUAAAUAAAUAAAUACAAUACAAGUCUCUACAAAGGCAAUUGCAGAAUGUUAUAAACAAGCAGAAGCAGUCACAUCUAAUUUUCCAUAUAAGAAACGAAGAAGUGCAAACAAUGUGUGAUUUAUAAACAAGUUGAAACAGAGGAGAAAAGGAUUGCUUCUUCCACACUUGGUUUUGAAUAAAUCAAUCAUUUACCGCUAUGUUUUUUGUUUUCGUCUCUUUAGAAUUCAAGGACACGGUAGUACGAGCCUAUUCAAAGUGAGGAAUAAUUGUUAAUGUAGUUGAGGGACCCCUAUAAUACCUAUCCAAAGAGUGGAAUAAUAGUUACUGUAUUUGAACAUCAAUAUCUCAGUACCAUCCAUCAAGUGACAAACAAAUAGAUAAACUUUUCAACUUCAUCAUUUAAGAUGUUGUUAUAGGACAGACAUACGAUAUGACAUUUCUUAUUGACUAAAUCCCAAUAGUCAAAGGAUAUAUUGAAAAGAAAAUGCUCAAAUACAUGCAAGCUUUAACAGGACACACUUCACCCAUUUCAGGAAUUGAAAAUUUAGGGAAGAUAAAAAUUACCUGGGUCGAAGAUUCUAUAAUUACCACCCAUCUUUGUAUGCUUCAUGUUAGAAGGGAAAGAGAAACAGAAUGUCCCAUCAUGGUCUAGCAAUUUAAAUAGAGAAAAUGCAUCCUUUUCAUUUGCAGCCACUGCUUUGAAAAGAAUGUCUCAUCGGUUCACAGUGAGACACAUUUUGCGUUGCUAUGUGUAAAAGUGAGUGCUCUUCGAAUUGUCUAUCUCAUUUUUUUCCAACCCAUUGCCAGUAACAUUGGUAAUGAAUGACAAAAAUAAAUAAAAGUAAUUUUUCAAUAAAACAAGAAAACAUAGUAAUUUUUCAAUAAAACAAGAAAACAUAGUAAUUUUUAAAUGACAGAAAUAUUCCAGAACUGUUACACUGAAAACAUCAGACUCAAAUACUU
rnacentral:lncRNA from 1 species